rnacentral:rRNA from 1 species
UGGGGAAUUUUGGACAAUGGGCGAAAGCCUGAUCCAGCAAUGCCGCGUGUGUGAAGAAGGCCUUCGGGUUGUAAAGCACUUUUGUCCGGAAAGAAAUGGCUCUGGUUAAUACCUGGGGUCGAUGACGGUACCGGAAGAAUAAGGACCGGCUAACUACGUGCCAGCAGCCGCGGUAAUACGUAGGGUCCAAGCGUUAAUCGGAAUUACUGGGCGUAAAGCGUGCGCAGGCGGUUGUGCUAGACCGAUGUGAAAUCCCCGAGCUUAACUUGGGAAUUGCAUUGGUGACUGCACGGCUAGAGUGUGUCAGAGGGGGGUAGAAUUCAACGUGUAGCAGUGAAAUGCGUAGAGAUGUGGAGGAAUACCGAUGGCGAAGGCAGCCCCCUGGGAUAACACUGACGCUCAUGCACGAAAGCGUGGGGAGCAAACA